rnacentral:rRNA from 1 species
UCAGAUUGAACGCUGGCGGCAGGCCUAACACAUGCAAGUCGAACGGUAGCACAGAGAGCUUGCUCUCGGGUGACGAGUGGCGGACGGGUGAGUAAUGUCUGGGAAACUGCCUGAUGGAGGGGGAUAACUACUGGAAACGGUAGCUAAUACCGCAUAACGUCGCAAGACCAAAGAGGGGGACCUUCGGGCCUCUUGCCAUCAGAUGUGCCCAGAUGGGAUUAGCUAGUAGGUGGGGUAAUGGCUCACCUAGGCGACGAUCCCUAGCUGGUCUGAGAGGAUGACCAGCCACACUGGAACUGAGACACGGUCCAGACUCCUACGGGAGGCAGCAGUGGGGAAUAUUGCACAAUGGGCGCAAGCCUGAUGCAGCCAUGCCGCGUGUAUGAAGAAGGCCUUCGGGUUGUAAAGUACUUUCAGCGGGGAGGAAGGUGUUGUGGCUAAUAACCGCAGCAAUUGACGUUACCCGCAGAAGAAGCACCGGCUAACUCCGUGCCAGCAGCCGCGGUAAUACGGAGGGUGCAAGCGUUAAUCGGAAUUACUGGGCGUAAAGCGCACGCAGGCGGUCUGUCAAGUCGGAUGUGAAAUCCCCGGGCUCAACCUGGGAACUGCAUUCGAAACUGGCAGGCUAGAGUCUUGUAGAGGGGGGUAGAAUUCCAGGUGUAGCGGUGAAAUGCGUAGAGAUCUGGAGGAAUACCGGUGGCGAAGGCGGCCCCCUGGACAAAGACUGACGCUCAGGUGCGAAAGCGUGGGGAGCAAACAGGAUUAGAUACCCUGGUAGUCCACGCCGUAAACGAUGUCGACUUGGAGGUUGUGCCCUUGAGGCGUGGCUUCCGGAGCUAACGCGUUAAGUCGACCGCCUGGGGAGUACGGCCGCAAGGUUAAAACUCAAAUGAAUUGACGGGGGCCCGCACAAGCGGUGGAGCAUGUGGUUUAAUUCGAUGCAACGCGAAGAACCUUACCUACUCUUGACAUCCAGAGAACUUUCCAGAGAUGGAUUGGUGCCUUCGGGAACUCUGAGACAGGUGCUGCAUGGCUGUCGUCAGCUCGUGUUGUGAAAUGUUGGGUUAAGUCCCGCAACGAGCGCAACCCUUAUCCUUUGUUGCCAGCGGUCCGGCCGGGAACUCAAAGGAGACUGCCAGUGAUAAACUGGAGGAAGGUGGGGAUGACGUCAAGUCAUCAUGGCCCUUACGAGUAGGGCUACACACGUGCUACAAUGGCGCAUACAAAGAGAAGCGAACUCGCGAGAGCAAGCGGACCUCAUAAAGUGCGUCGUAGUCCGGAUUGGAGUCUGCAACUCGACUCCAUGAAGUCGGAAUCGCUAGUAAUCGUAGAUCAGAAUGCUACGGUGAAUACGUUCCCGGGCCUUGUACACACCGCCCGUCACACCAUGGGAGUGGGUUGCAAAAGAAGUAGGUAGCUUAACCUUCGGGAGGGCGCUUACCACUUUGUGAUUCAUGACUGGGGUG